ACACCGUGUCCUCCACCCGCACACGGCGGCAGGACCCUGAGCAGUGUCUGGCCCCUGCACCCCGCUGUCCUACAGCCCCCCCCCGGUCUGCGGGAAGGUCACCCCUGUUCCUGGGCGCUGUGCCUGAGCUGGGAGCACCGAGCCAGGGUUCAUGGUGGGUCAGCUGAGUCAUUCCAUCCAUCCCUUGACGCCGGGAGCUGGAAUCACAGCCCUCCACCGCCGGUGUUUAUUAUCGCUGUGGGACCUUUGUGCCGGCUGGGAGCGCCGUGGUGACGUUUCCCGCCCAUGGUGCCCAUGGUGACGGCGCGGCUCCCCCGCUCCCGUGGCACCCCUGCCCGCCGCACCCCGGCUCAGCUGGGCAGGGCUCCGCUAUUUAACGGGUGCCCGACAGCCGGGAGAGCCGUGCCAAGGGCGGCGAUCCCGAGUGCUGCCGGCAUUGCCUCCUCUGGGAACUUUUCCGCAGGUUUGCUCGGAGACCACUGAGGAGGAUGUGUGACCCCAACCAAGGCCCGCCACAACCAUACCUUGCAGUGUGCCCUCCUGCCCCGCCGGGAUACCCUGGUCCUGGCACAGGUCCCUGCCCUGGCGGCGUGGCAGUCUGCCCCCCGUGCCCUGCUCCACCUGGCCAGCACCCGCACGGGCACCCCCCAUCGGGGCAUCACCCCCAUGGGCACCCCCCAUCGGGGCAUCACCCCCAUGGGCACCCCCCAGCAGGCCAUCACCCCCAUGGGCACCAGGAUCACCACAAGAAGCACCAUAAGAAGCACCAUAAGAAGAAGCACUGCAAGCACCACGGAGACAAGCCCUCAGGUGGCUCCUGCAGCUCAAGCAGCUCAAGCAGCAGCUCUGACUCUGACUGA
rnacentral:lncRNA from 1 species